rnacentral:lncRNA from 1 species
GCCAUUUGCAUUUUUCAUAUUAAGCCAAAUAUUGUAUGGAAAGCUGUGUGCUGAAAUCAAAUUAAAGGUAUAAAAAUCUAGUGUAAAGUCCUCAAAGGCAAGAGCACAGGGACCUUGUCAUUCUGAAAAACUGUGUACAACAGGAAACUCUCCUGAUGUAUGUCCAAAGUAGACAAUACUUCUGGCUGUUAACUAAUCAGAAAAUCUUGCAUCAAAU